GCCCCGCGCUCCUCUCGGCUGCCGCCAUCUUGGUGCCUUGAGCGGCUGCCGGCUCCAUCCGCCGCCAUCCGUGUGCAUCCGCCGCCCCCCGCCCGCCGGGACUGAGCGGGGCCCCGCCGAACCGCCAUGAGGGCCAAGUGGCGCAAGAAGCGAAUGCGCAGGCUGAAGCGCAAGAGGAGAAAGAUGAGGCAGAGGUCCAAGUAACCGGCGCCGCCCCGCGGGGACACGGCCCGGUGACGCCCCGGUGCUGUCCCGGUGCCGCGGGGGGGUCCCGGUGCCGCGGGGGGGUCCCGGUGCCGCGGGGGGUCCCGCCGGGCCGCGCCCGUUCUGUGCUUUGCGGCGGCCGCCGUGCCGUGAAUAAAAGUUGAUUCUUGCUUACA